UACGUAGGGUGCAAGCGUUAUCCGGAAUUAUUGGGCGUAAAGAGCUCGUAGGCGGUUUGUCGCGUCUGCUGUGAAAACCGGAGGCUCAACCUCCGGCCUGCAGUGGGUACGGGCAAACUAGAGUGCGGUAGGGGAGAUUGGAAUUCCUGGUGUAGCGGUGGAAUGCGCAGAUAUCAGGAGGAACACCGAUGGCGAAGGCAGGUCUCUGGGCCACUACUGACGCUGAGAAGCGAAAGCAUGGGGAGCGAACAGG
rnacentral:rRNA from 1 species